AAGCUUUGCGGAUUGUCUUUUGCUCCAAGUUAUUUUUGGUGAUUUUUUUUUUUUAGUGGUUUUUCGGCGGAGCGCUAGUGGCACUAUACUUUCAGACAGGAUAUCCCGUCUUUCCUGCUAGAUUGAUGAGAUCGGGCAUC
rnacentral:lncRNA from 1 species